rnacentral:rRNA from 1 species
GACGAACGCUGGCGGCGUGCUUAACACAUGCAAGUCGAGCGGUAAGGCCUCUUCGGGGGUACACGAGCGGCGAACGGGUGAGUAACACGUGGGUGACCUGCCCUCAGCUCUGGGAUAAGCCUGGGAAACUGGGUCUAAUACCGGAUAUGACCUUUCCUCGCAUGGGGUUUGGUGGAAAGUUUUUUCGGCUGGGGAUGGGCCCGCGGCUAUCAGCUUGUUGGUGGGGUGAUGGCCUACCAAGGCGACGACGGGUAGCCGGCCUGAGAGGGCGACCGGCCACACUGGGACUGAGACACGGCCCAGACUCCUACGGGAGGCAGCAGUGGGGAAUAUUGCGCAAUGGGCGGAAGCCUGACGCAGCGACGCCGCGUGGGGGAUGACGGCCUUCGGGUUGUAAACCUCUUUCGACCCCGACGAAUUUGGACGGUAGGGGUAGAAGAAGCACCGGCCAACUACGUG